rnacentral:rRNA from 1 species
AUACGUAGGUGGCAAGCGUUGUCCGGAUUUAUUGGGCGUAAAGCGAGCGCUAGGCGGUUUUUUAAGUCUGAUGUGAAAGCCUUCGGCUCAACCGAAGAAGUGCAUCGGAAACUGGGAAACUUGAGUGCAGAAGAGGACAGUGGAACUCCAUGUGUAGCGGUGAAAUGCGUAGAUAUAUGGAAGAACACCAGCGGCGAAGGCGGCUGCCUGGUCUGUAACUGACGCUGAGGCUCGAAAGUAUGGGUAGC